CAAUUGGCAAAGGCAUCAGGAGGCAUGGGGAGACUGAGAAAGCACUUUGGAAGUGAUCCCCACACUUUAUUCUUUAGCCUGUGGAAGUAAUGGGGACUUCGAUCUUCAUUAGAGAUUUAAUAGCAGGAUGAGACAAAAGGAUACACAGCAGGCCUGAAAGGUCCUUCCUCUCCUGAGCAGUCCCCAUCAAGUCAAUGGGUAAAUGUCUGCAGAAGGGGACCACACUGAAGUUCUGUUGGCCUGAACUGAGUGGACUGGUCGCAACUGAAGGUCAGAAUCAUUUUCCUGCCAACUCUAACUAUGCCCCAUUUAGGUAUUGGAAGACCACUGUACCGUCACCCCUGCAGCUUCUCUUCUCUAGACUGACCAACCCCAACUCUCUCAGCCUGUCUCCAGAGAGGAGGAGCUCCACCCCUCUGACCAUCUUUGUGGCCCUCCUCUGUUAUAAAAGGUAUGACUGUUAAAAAUUCCCCUAGAGUCAGUGAAAUAUUCAUAUCUAAUGUCUCGGCAUUUCUCAGCAGGUGAGGGUUGUGUGUUAGGAGUGGGGGACUUGAGCCCAGGUUCCAUCUCUUGGCAAUGGUCCUGAUGGUCCUCUGAUUACUGCAGACUUGAGAAUCUGCAAACCCUGAGGGAUAUCCCACUCAGAGGGAGAUGCUGGUUGCCACCCACUGCAGUACAGGAGAGCUCAAAGGGCCUCACUUUGAACCACUAUUCACAGGGUCGCAAAAUGAUUGGCUUUAGACAUUAGUAAAUUUCCAUCCUGGGCACAAUCCAAGUCAGUAAUUACUAGGAAUUUUUCAAAACUCCAGUAACAAUGGCACUGUUCUACUCAGGCUAUGAUAAAGGGAAGGAGUGUUCUAAGGCUGUCAAGGAAUGACUGAUUAUCCCUUCUCUUGCUUCCCACCUUAGCCAGGGAACAGAAGUCCCUAGUACAAUCAGUGCCUUCCUCCUUAGCCAUGCAAGAGUUCCUGGUAUGGGCAAGCGACACUUCAUUGCUCAAUUCAUUACACAAAGUCUAAGGACCGGCAGAAAUUCCAGAGAUCAUGGAGCAGCCCAGAGGAUGAGGUGGGGAAGUAAGAUGCACCACCACCAAAAUACAGCAAAUUGAGCACCCCAUUCCAAUCCUAUAGUUAAUAAUCUAUGUACGCUACGUGUAUGCAUGCUUAUUUAUGAGUAUUCCUUUAUGAGUUUACAAUAUGCAUUGCAAAAUCUUGGGAGAGAUGAAUCACUAAUGAACUCAAACCCUCCUAUGAGAUCUGGGUCUAAUCACAACAUCUUCAGUAUGCCUGCUACCUUCUUCACCAUCUUACCAGUAAGCCUAACAAAGGAUUUGUAAAAUAGUCAACAACUAAAUACAUCACUGCACAGUCACAGAAGGAUUAUCAAUAAUGAAAGUUACGAACAGUUAUCAUUCAGUUCUGAGCCUGUUGUACAUUGAAAAUGGAAAUGUCUUCCUUCAAGACCACAGGGCUGCUACAUGUGAAAAUAGAUCCAAUUGUAAUGUUGUUUAUACUGUUAAAUACUGUACAUAUUUACAUGUGAUGUACCUCCUGCUGAUGACAAUACCCUGUCAUGGGUUGGACCCAUCUGCUCCACAACACCUAGGAGGCAAAGCAGAUGUUGCCACAGCACUGCCUCAUCCAUGAAUGGUCAAUUGCUGCAGUGGAGCUGGCAGAUGGGUGUAAAAGCUCUAAUCUCCUUGGUUUUCACAUACGACCCAGUGUCCAGAUCUGCUACGGCUGUCACUUCUGUCUUGCUCAUGACAGCAGUCCAGCUAGUUCUAGAGUCCAGACAUCUAGUCUAUAGCUCUCUAAUAUGGCUACAAGGAUAUUAUGAAAGACCAUGCUGAAACCUUGCCAAAGCAAAUAUAAACCACCGCUACCACUCCGCUGAAACAGUCCUCCCAUUAUCUCACAAUAGAAAGCAAUCAGCUUGAUCAGGCACAAUUUGCACUUGGUAAAUCUAUGCUGCUGUUUCCAAUCACCUUUUGUUCUUCACAUGCCUGAUAACAGCUUCCAGAAGGAUUUGUCCCUUAACUGUCACAUGGUUUGGGGUGUGGCUGAUCAUCCUUCACCUCCCUGGACCUUCACUGCCCUUCUCAAGGAUGAGCAUGACAUUUACCUUCCAUUCACCAGGGUCUCUUCCCCAUUGCUAUGACCCAUUCUUGUGUACAGACAGGAGGCUCAACCAGGUUCCUACCUCCCUCCACUGAGAUCAGGAGCAUUUUACUUAAUGUUAGUCUCCAUUUGGGAGACUAAUAUUAAGGCAGUCACCUUUCCUGCUCAAGAUAUUUGGCUGCCCCUCCUUUUUAACCAGUUCCAUGCUAUCUGGCCUUGGUCAUCUCAUUGCUAUAAAGACUAAGCAACCCUGAGCAAAUGUGACCUUCAAGGGGACACGCAGCACAAUGGGAUUAUUCAAGGACUCUUAUAAUUUCAUUGAGAACAGAGUUGGCUGUUAAAUUUCAUGUCUAUUUGACAACCUAUCCAUCCCUUAUUUAUGUAGGUAUGACUGUGUGCGUGCGUGCAAGUAUUGGCUAAACAGGACUGGCCAGGAACAGAUGGUAGAAGAGGUUGGCUGAAAGAAGGAUAAAUCCUUUCACCCAGUUAUUGGCAGUCCAUGGCAGCAGUUCCCAAGCUACUCUGCUUGGGAACCGCCAGUGCUAUGGCUGCUCUCCUACUGCCAUACUGACGCUCACAUCCCUGCAUUUGGGAGCUCCUCUAAGAGCAUGCUGGUGGUUCUAGGUGGCUUUAUCCAGCCAGGACAAACCAGGGCAUGUCUCUGGCUACAUGAUGCGGGAGGCUGGGCUUGCCGUGGUCAUUCUGACUUAUGGAUUUCAUCAAAGCAAACAGAAGCAGCUUGCCAGCUACUUUGACUUUGAGGGCCAAGCCGAGGGCACAUGGGAAAUUGACAGAGAGAAGAAGGGGAUCAGAGAAGAAAUACUGCCAGCAGCUCACUCCUGUGCUGGGAGAUGCUCAUGCACAGAAAAUUAUCCAGAAGCAGUGAUAGCAGUAACCAUGACAAUGUCAGCAGCACAGCACUAGCAGGGCUCCCUCAGGGAUUAACACUUUUCCAUACCAUGAGCGUAUCUCCCUUUUUCUGACGUAUGCUGUUGUUCCAGUGGUAGUCCAUGUUCGCUUUAUCUUCCUGAAAUCAGAGCUACCUGAGAAACUGCUUUCUCUGCGAAUUGCUUAGGGAGGACUACGUGUAAAAAGAAAGUAUUUUUUACAGAAAGUGUGUCCCAGAGCAUGUGCUUGUGGAGCACUUUGCACCACAGUCCCGCCCUAAUCCCCCUCCCUCAGAUGUCCCCAUCAUAGCCAGGAACCACUGCUGACUGAAACCAAAGUUGCCUCAUUUCACUGAACACACUGCUAUUUUCUAAGAUGUGACUCAGAGCUUUUCAAUUAGGUGUCAGCAUGUGCUAUUUGCUAGAAAUGAAAUCAACAGUAAUUCUACUUUGUUUUUUAGUAAGUUUUUGUCUUUUCUUGCUCCAGAUCAUGAGUGAGGUACACAGGGAGCAGAGCUCAGAGAGACUGGUCCUGGCUGUGUAUAAGGACCUGCUUCUCAUAGCAAAGGCUUCAGGCACGGGUGAGUCACUAACAAGCAUGAUCUUGGUGGAAGGGAAGGCAAACUGUGGGCACUAAGUAGCCUGACAGCUUGGCAGACCUUUCUCACUGACUGCUCAGUUCUCAGGCUUUUGUGCCCACACCAGCCAAGGGAAUAAUAAUAAUAAUAAU